ensembl:lncRNA
CUCCACAUUAUCUUUUAAAUAGUUUUAAAUAAUUAUUUUGGGCAAUUUGGGGACCAAAUUAUUCCAGGGCAAUAACAAACUAAGCUGAACAGAGGCUGAUUACUAUUAUGUAGAGAGUAUUCACUAGUUUUCCACAAUCUCCGCUAAUCCCUAUUGUGCUAAAUAUUGGAGUAAAGUGUCAGCUGUCAAAUAUUAUUGUCUUCACACUUUUUUAUAAUAAAGAAAUAUAUUUCUGUGACCCAUUCUCAUCAAAGGCAAGAAAAUAAAGGAUUGUGAAGGCCAUGCAAUUUAGGAAAAACGACAUCAAGAACACGUCUCUGUUGCUGUCGGUUUCUGUAGGUAUUUGAACUUAUCCCUGGUGCAGGAGAAAGACCUUAGUCAGGAAGCUGAAUUCAGGUGCUAGUCUUAGUCCAAAUUUAGUCCAAGGGGAUUUCUGAAGGAGGUACAGACCUGAUCUUGGCCUCAGUUUUUUUCCCUAUAAAUUAAAAGCUUUUGUAUAGGGCCUUCCCUGGUAGGCCAGUGGUUAAGAAUGUGCCUUGCAGUGCAGGGGACGCAGGUUCAAGCCUGGUCAGGGGACUAAGAUCACAUGCCACAGAGCAACUGAGCCCACUCCCACAACUAGAGAGUCCGUGCACUACAACGAAAGAUCCCACAACUGAGACUCGACACAGCCAAAUAAAAUUUUUUUAAUCUGUUUGUUUUUUUUUUUAAUUCAAGUGUCCGGAUUAUAAGAGAAGAAGUAAUUAGAAUAUCAGAUGUCAUGGAAUUGAGUUGAAAGCUGAAGAUCCAGGUUCAAGAAAUAAUGAAAAACCAAGAAGGCACUUGGCAGCAGAAGUAGAUGUCCAAGAGAGCAAACCAGGCAACACUGCCAGCGUGGACGCAGCCCCCGGCCUUUCGUGGGUCUUUGUCCCCUGUUCACUAUGCACAGAUCUAGCAGGCCACAAUGACGGUGAUGACGAUGAUGAUGGCCUUUGCCAGAAGGAAGCAGAGGCUGUAGAGGAGAGAGCCGACCUGGCUUCAUGGACCAUGGCUUCCACCCACCAGUCCCGCACAUGAGGAGUAGGGAUUACGCUUCCAGCUUUGUGUUAAUCUGAUCCCUGAAGUCAUCAGAUUCUGUAAGGCCAAGUUAACAGGUGUCACAUAAACUGUUCAAUUUAUACUUCCAUUCUAGAGUUCAGAAACAAGAGCCGUUUCCAGGUUGUUCCCUUGCUUUCCCCUCCUGUGAUUCUCAGAAAUGGAAGAAAGGAUAUAAUGGGUGCUUUUCUUCCCCCAUGGAGAUGAUGUUCAGUUAUUGAGCUCCACCUUAUGAAGAACCACAAAGAGAUUUAUAUACAGAUGCUAAGGACAGGGUGGUAUCUGGCACUGAAUGGGUUGAAAACCACGACAACCCUAAAGGGAUAAAAUAUCAUUCUGCUCGUGUAAAGAAUCAAGCAGGCCUGGAUCACCCAUCACCUAACGGGAGCAUCCUGAGUCCACUUUAGGGCUGUGUCCACAGUGACCAGGAUGAAAGGCAAAAAUUGGUCAUGCAGGGGAGUUCUGAAGGAUAUGAUUCUUAUCAUCCCAUUCAGAUUUGAUGCCAUGAAGACACGUCUCUGAAAACCAUGACAUCCGACUGUCUGGGUGAGCAUCUUUGUAGACUGCACCAAAAUUUCCUUUGAACUCCCCCGUGCCUCAUUUAACUAUGAUGAAAGUCAAAUUAAGCUGACUAAAGCCCCACACACUCUACAGGGGGCCUCACCCUUGGUGUUAAGG